rnacentral:rRNA from 1 species
UACGGGGCGAGCAGUGGGGAAUAUUGCACAAUGGGCGCAAGCCUGAUGCAGCCAUGCCGCGUGUAUGAAGAAGGCCUUCGGGUUGUAAAGUACUUUCAGUCGUGAGGAAGGUGUUAAGGUUAAUAACCUUAGCAAUUGACGUUAGCGACAGAAGAAGCACCGGCUAACUCCGUGCCAGCAGCCGCGGUAAUACGGAGGGUGCGAGCGUUAAUCGGAAUUACUGGGCGUAAAGGGCACGCAGGCGGUUAAUUAAGUUGGAUGUGAAAUCCCCGGGCUUAACCUGGGAAUGGCAUUCAAGACUGGUUAGCUAGAGUCUUGUAGAGGGGGUAGAAUUCCAUGUGUAGCGGUGAAAUGCGUAGAGAUGUGGAGGAAUACCGGUGGCGAAGGCGGCCCCUGGACAAAGACUGACGCUCAUGUGCGAAAGCGUGGGGAGCAAACG